CAGCAGCCGCGGGAAUACGUAGGGUGCAAGCGUUAAUCGGAAUUACUGGGCGUAAAGCGUGCGCAGGCGGUUCUAUAAGACAGAUGUGAAAUCCCCGGGCUCAACCUGGGAACUGCAUUUGUGACUGUAGAGCUGGAGUGCGGCAGAGGGGGAUGGAAUUCCGCGUGUAGCAGUGAAAUGCGUAGAUAUGUGGAGGAAUACCGAUGGCGAAGGCAGCCCCCUGGGCCAAUACUGACGCUCAUGCACGAAAGCGUGGGGAGCAAACAGGAUUAGAUACCCCAGUAGUCCCUGUCUCUUAUAC
rnacentral:rRNA from 1 species